UACAGAGGAUGCAAGCGUUAUCCGGAAUGAUUGGGCGUAAAGCGUCUGUAGGUGGCUUUUUAAGUCCGCCGUCAAAUCCCAGGGCUCAACUCUGGACAGGCGGUGGAAACUACCAAGCUGGAGUACGGUAGGGGCAGAGGGAAUUUCCGGUGGAGCGGUGAAAUGCGUAGAUAUCAGGAGGAACACCGGUGGCGAAGGCGGGUCUCUGGGCAAUAACUGACGCUGAGGAGCGAAAGCGUGGGGAGCGAACAGG
rnacentral:rRNA from 1 species